rnacentral:rRNA from 1 species
UAGAGUUUGAUCAUGGCUCAGAUUGAACGCUGGCGGCAGGCCUAACACAUGCAAGUCGAGCGGUAGAGAGAAGCUUGCUUCUCUUGAGAGCGGCGGACGGGUGAGUAAUGCCUAGGAAUCUGCCUGGUAGUGGGGGAUAACGUUCGGAAACGAACGCUAAUACCGCAUACGUCCUACGGGAGAAAGCAGGGGACCUUCGGGCCUUGCGCUAUCAGAUGAGCCUAGGUCGGAUUAGCUAGUUGGUGAGGUAAUGGCUCACCAAGGCGACGAUCCGUAACUGGUCUGAGAGGAUGAUCAGUCACACUGGAACUGAGACACGGUCCAGACUCCUACGGGAGGCAGCAGUGGGGAAUAUUGCACAAUGGGCGCAAGCCAGAUGCAGCCAUGCCGCGUGUAUGAAGAAGGUCUUCGGGUUGUAAAGUACUUUCAGCGGGGAGGAAGGCGAUAAGCCUAAUAACCUUGUCGAUUGACGUUACCCGCAGAAGAAGCACCGGCUAACUCCGUGCCAGCAGCCGCGGUAAU